rnacentral:rRNA from 1 species
GACGAACGCUGGCGGCGUGCUUAACACAUGCAAGUCGAACGGAAAGGCCCUGCUUUUGUUGGGUGCUCGAGUGGCGAACGGGUGAGUAACACGUGAGUAACCUGCCCUUGACUUUGGGAUAACUUCAGGAAACUGGGGCUAAUACCGGAUAGGAGCUCCUGCUGCAUGGUGGGGGUUGGAAAGUUUCGGCGGUUGGGGAUGGACUCGCGGCUUAUCAGCUUGUUGGUGGGGUAGUGGCUUACCAAGGCUUUGACGGGUAGCCGGCCUGAGAGGGUGACCGGCCACAUUGAGACAGAGAUACGGCACGGACUACUACGGGAGGCAGCAGUGGGGAAUAUUGCACAAUGGGCGGAAGCCUGAUGCAGCAACGCCGCGUGCGGGAUGACAACCUUCGGGUUGUAAACCGCUUUCGCCUGUGACGAAGCGUGAGUGACGGUAAUGGGUAAAGAAGCACCGGCUAACUACGUG